AUUGAACGCUGGCGGCAGGCCUAACACAUGCAAGUCGAGCGGCCGGCGGACGGGUGAUUACUGUAUGGGUACUGCCCGUUAGAGGUGGCUUACUACUGGAAACGGUAGUUAAUCCCGCAUACUAUCGGAUAACCCAUAUGGGAUUAGCUAGUAGGUGAGGUAAUGGCUCACCUAGGCGACGAUCCCUAGCUGGUCAGAGAGGAUGAUCAGCAACAAUGGGACUGAGACACGGCCCAGACUCCUACGGAGGCAGCAGUGGGGAAUAUUGCACAAUGGGCGCAAGCCUGAUGCAGCCAUGCCGCGUGUAUGAAGAAGGCCCUAGGGUUGUAAAGUACUUUAAGUCGGGAGGCGUUACCGACAGAAGAAGCACCGGCUAACUACGUGCCAGCCGCCGCGGUAAUUC
rnacentral:rRNA from 1 species